rnacentral:misc_RNA from 1 species
AAAAGUCGUAACAAGGUUUCCGUAGGUGAACCUGCGGAAGGAUCAUUACCGAAAUUGAUUAUCUUCUUUCUGUGAAUUUUUUAAUAACUUGCUUCGGUGGCAUAUUAUAGUCAGCUCAUUUCACACUUGGGUUAACUACUGCCACCGAAAGGUUAAACUCAAUUAAAAUUUUUUGUCUAAACAAUUAAAACUAAUAGAUCAAAACUUUCAGCAACGGAUCUCUUGGUUCUC